GCUUAGAUAGUGUAGCUCGGUUAACAUAAGAGAUUGUGGCUCUCUUGACGGGGGUUCAAAUCCCCCUCUAGGCCCCA
rnacentral:tRNA from 1 species